rnacentral:misc_RNA from 1 species
GUACCCUCAAGCUCAGCUUGGUGUUGGGCGUUUGUCCUGUCUUUAGUGCAUGGACUCGCCUCAAAUCAAUUGGCAGCCGGCAAUCUGGUGGCAGAGCGCAGCACAUUUUGCGCACUUCGCUUUGAAUGUCGGCGUCCAUGAAGGCUACAUUUUUGC